GUAGGUGAACCUGCGGAAGGAUCAUUACCAAUCAUAAAAAACGAUGACGUCGGUGGGUUCUCCUGCCGAUGUCGUCAACCAAACCAAAAAAAACCCCGGGGGCCGUCGAGCCGUAAAACGUUCGCGGCCUCCUUUGGUUACCACCGACGUGUGUGUUCCCCGUCCACGCGGCCCCCCCUUCUUUUCGGCGGGCAAAUCCAUAUCAUACAAAUUCACACCUCGUGUGUGUUUUUGCGUGUCGGGUUUGUCG
rnacentral:misc_RNA from 1 species